ACAGCAGCAGCCGCGGUAAUACGGAGGGUGCAAGCGUUAAUCGGAAUUACUGGGCGUAAAGCGCACGCAGGCGGUCUGUCAAGUCAGAUGUGAAAUCCCCGGGCUUAACCUGGGAACUGCAUUUGAAACUGGCAGGCUAGAGUCUUGUAGAGGGGGGUAGAAUUCCAGGUGUAGCGGUGAAAUGCGUAGAGAUCUGGAGGAAUACCGGUGGCGAAGGCGGCCCCCUGGACAAAGACUGACGCUCAGGUGCGAAAGCGUGGGGAGCAAACAGGAUUAGAUACCCCAGUAGUCCCUGUCUCUUAUCC
rnacentral:rRNA from 1 species